rnacentral:rRNA from 1 species
UACAGAGGGUGCAAACGUUGCUCGGAAUUAUUGGGCGUAAAGCGCACGUAGGCGGAUCGAUCAGUCAGGGGUGAAAUCCCAGAGCUCAACUCUGGAACUGCCUUUGAUACUGUCGGUCUAGAGUAUGGAAGAGGUGAGUGGAAUUCCUGGUGUAGCGGUGAAAUGCGCAGAUAUCAGGAGGAACACCGGUGGCGAAGGCGGCCUGCUGGGACAUGGCUGACGCUGAGGCGCGACAGCGUGGGGAGCAAACAGG